CUUAACUUGCACUCGCACGAGCAGGAAGGUUUCUUCACAUGGUAUAGCAGCGUGGCUUUCUUUCGAAUAUUGACCGUGAUUAGUACAUCAUCGUCAUCGGCCAAUUUCGGUAGUCGCUUGCGAAUCCCGGAAGUCAGCGCAGCAGCAACUACAUCCCGACAUCUGUCUCGCUGCGAUCGUUCGCAUAUUCUACUUCCUACGGCACUAUCCGUCAGUGGCAGUCGAUUUUACUCGACUCCUAUCAUCCAGGAAGGUUUUGUGGACGAAUUUGACAUGGCUCCGAGAUUCGAGCGAGAAGACUACAAGAAGGAACCGUACAACGGUGUGAAGCGUACCGGAACCGAGUUCAAGCGUGGAACCGGUUCGCGCAGUGGUGGUGGUGGUGGGUACGGUGGUAGUGGCGGGGCCAUCGGCUCCGGCGGCGGCGGAUAUGGUGGUGGCGGCGGUGGAAGCCGCUUCGGCGGAGGAGGUGGUGGUGGGCGUCGCGAUAAGUGGGCGGAAGCCGGUACGCUCCAGAAGAUAGACUGGAGCAAGAUGACGCUUGCACCGUUUAAGAAAGAUUUCUACCGCGAACAUUCGGUCGUUCGCAACCGGUCGCAGAAAGAUGUCGACCGUUUCCUGGCCAAGCACGAUAUCACACUGAUCGGCCAGUGCCCGAAACCGAUCACCGAGUUCAACGAGAUCGACAUUCCAGACUACGUGAUGCGGGAGAUCGAAAAGCAGGGCUACAAGUCGCCGACUCCGAUUCAGGCCCAAGGUUGGCCGAUCGCUCUGAGCGGCCUCAACAUGGUCGGUGUUGCGAAGACCGGUUCGGGAAAAACGCUCGGUUACAUGCUGCCCGCUAUCGUGCACAUCAAUCAUCAAAAGCCGGACCCAUCGGUGCGUGGACCGCUGGUGCUCGUAUUGGCGCCAACCCGUGAGCUUGCGCAGCAGAUCCAACAGGUCGCCACGGACUUCGGUUCGUCGUCGUACAUUCGCAACACGUGUCUGUUCGGUGGCUCCAGCAAGGGACCGCAGGCAUCGGAUCUUCGACGUGGCGUAGAGAUCGUCAUCGCUACACCUGGCCGUUUGAUUGAUUUCCUCGAAUCGGGUACGACUACGCUGCAGCGCGUAACGUACCUAGUGUUGGACGAAGCCGAUCGUAUGUUGGACAUGGGUUUCGAGCCGCAAAUCAGAAAGAUUCUCGAGCAUGUGCGCCCGGACCGUCAAAUUCUGAUGUGGUCCGCUACCUGGCCGAAAGAGGUGCAGCGUUUGGCACGCGAUUUCCUCGGAGACUACGUGCAGAUCAACGUCGGUUCGUUGGAACUUUCGGCGAACCACAACAUCACGCAGCAUGUCCGUGUUGUUGAAGAAAAGGACAAAAAUCAAGAACUUGGCAACCUUCUGGAGGAACUGUACCGUGGUGGAAACCCUGGUAAAAUUCUGAUCUUCACCACAACCAAGCGCCGUUGCGAUCAGAUAAGUAUGCAAAUCCGUCGCUAUGGUUACGACUCGGUUGGAAUGCACGGAGACAAAUCACAGCAGGAACGUGAGCGUGCGCUGCACCGCUUCCGAAAUGCGCGCUCCUGCAUACUGGUAGCAACAGAUGUGGCCGCCCGUGGUUUAGAGGCCGGACCAUCUUGCUGCUGUGGUGGGGAUAGUGAGCAAAAGUACAUCUCGGCCCGCUGUUAUACAUAUGUUUCGCCCGUACAAUGAAAAUGAGCACCAACUCCGCGACUCGCAGAAAGCCCGCGUCCGACCGCCUCUACCCAUAACCCGGUGGUAUUGGUUGGCGCACGCGGAACGCUGUGUGUGGUGGUGCGUUCAUGGAUAAAAAAACACAUGAAAAUAAUGAACGGGAAAAGUGUAUGUUACACGGUGCGAGCCUUGCACGUAGCCCUUCUGUACAAGGAGGGGGACAGUGAGAGAGAUGCAUAAUGCAAUGUCACGAAACAAUAUCCUCGCCAGGUGCAAAAGGUUACCGAUUCUCAAACGGCCUCUUAAAAAAACACGGGUGUUGUGCCUGUGCGGUGGUGGUCACAGUGUAGGUAGGUGGGCUGUUAUGCGCGUGAGAGCCAUUCAAUGACUCGCGCAGAGGUUAGCUCACCUACAAGGCUACAUAAACACCGCUGAUAAAAACUCGACUACUACUACUACUACCAGUACUUUCGUACGCGCGCAAACACACGUAUCAAAUGUCGUCAGCUCCGAACGAAAAGGCUUUAUUUCAAUGAACCAUAUCAGUAUGGAUAAACAUCCAUGUGUGUGUGUGCGGGCGUGCAACAAAUCUGCCAGAAGCUACUUUGAUUGAAAUGGGAAAUUGCAACGCGGCAACCAAGACGCACACCUGCUGGUUCUAAUGUAUUGUACCAAGACAACAAGCCAACGAUAUGGCAAAGCGAUCGGAAACGAUUCCAAAAAUCUGCAUACCGCUGCCACCAGCACUUCCUACUCUUCGAAAUGCAUUGAUGGUCGUCAUAAAUGGUUAAAUAGACCAAGCAAGUCUUUAAUGACUCAAAGUCUCUAUAAGUUUAUCAGUCGGCAUAAAUGGCAAAUCUUCAGUAUCCUUGACUUGUUGAACCUGUGAAACUGCGAGAAGAGAAGUGUACACAGCGGAUCCGACAAUAGCCGUCGUCCUUAUUUAUACGAUGAUACACGUGUGCCGGAAUGCGUACGGAAGAACAUGCGGUCUCACCGAAUACUGCGACACAAGAUCAAUACGAUUGGAAGACGACAACCGGAGGAACGCGCUUGGUGUCCUCCUACAUAUACACACCGAUACUGCAUACCCCUUCUUCAUACGUCGAAAUAGUGUUGACGAGGGGGCAGUAGUAGCAAAACCGACGUGUCGCGUCUUCCCAGGUGGCCCUAAGUCGUCGAUCGAACUAAAAACACCGUGAAUGAACGCCGUGUUUGGCGGCGCUGGGCUACUGUAUCUGAUCGACAACGCGCAGUAUGAAUCGCAGCUGUAGUAGUAGUAGUGUGGCGGCACCCUAGAGAAAGACGCACGACAACAAGUACUCCUCUUCCGCGCGCGCGUUACCUAGUUAAGCGUGUUUUAGUAGUCACGGGUAGUCUGGAUAUCUCAUCCCCGUGUGUGUUUUCCAACUAACCCGCAUCUUCAUUACAUGCGGGGAAACGCGUACCGAGAUUUCGUUGAAAAAGUAGGGGAUUGUGGAAAGAGCACUACGUGUGUAUCUGCGUGGGUGUGUGAGAGAGAGAUAGAAAGGAGUAAAUCUGUUUACUCACUCUGGAAAGGCUCUGAAGAAAAACAUACAUAGUGACGAUGUUGACGGUAUAAAGGUAGUCAUCAACUACGACUAUCCCCAGCAGACGGAGGAUUACGUGCAUCGUAUCGGCCGUACCGGACGCUCGAACGCCACCGGCGAAGCUUACACCUUCUUCACCUUUGCCGAGCGCAAGAUGGCCAAAGAGCUGAUUGGCAUUCUCGAGGAAGCGAACCAAGUCGUACCGCCGGAGCUGCUCAAGUGGCGCCCGUUCGGCGGCGGCAGCGGUGGUGGUAACCGCUUCUCGCGAUUCGGAUCAUUCCGGGGAGGCAGCGGAUAUGGUGGUGGCAACCGAUUUGGAGGCGGUGGUGGUGGCGAUUACCGAAAUGGCGGCUCGGCCAUGGGUGCGAAACGACCAUACGACAGCAGCAGCCACGGUGGAGGUUAUGGCGGCGGCAACAGCUACUCGAACGGCGGUGGUUACGGAGCUGCCAGCAGUAGUUCGAACGGUUACGAUUCCCGAUCCACGAAGCACACUCGUUUCGACGACUAAGAACAGCUUGAGUAGAUAGGGUUAGAGUAAGACCGUAGUAGUACGCGCGCUCCACGUACACGAUCGGGGCGUAACAUUUUUUUUUUAACUUACAAGAGAAGAAUGAAUGCGCCCGGUGGAAUCUGUAAUGCAUUCGUUCGUCUGCACUUAAUUCCUUAUGAUAGAAAGAUAAGAUUAAUUACUAUUCCCCCCAAUUCUAUUCCUUGAUUAUAUAAAUCAUAUUCAAGCCUUUUUUGUUGUUGGUCGUCACGUCCCGCCAAGUAUCAUAAGUUACGUUUUAACCACCACCCCACCUAAGUUACAAGUGAUUUGUCCUUUUCUACCUACUUACACUCACACAUCGACGAAUAGAGUGUUUCCUUUGGAAAGCGCCUACAUGUAUGUAUGGUACACGAUCGUUGUAAUUUAGACACCGAACUCUCUCUCUCUCUACUUGCAUCCACCAGUUCUUCUCUUGUUGCAGGAGAAGAAAAAGUAUAGAGAAAGGAUCAUUUUUCCGCAGCGCGCAACAGAAAUGAAAAAAAAAUCGAAGAAAUCAUUGAAAAGUGUCUCUCAUCGGUAUUGAUGUGUAACAACUUCAGGUGAAAUUUAGCAAACACAGAAGAAUAGAACGACCUAUUUAGAACUAUUACAUUACUUUCUAUCUCUCUCAGGCAAGCAAGGUAAAGUAGACCAUCAUUUGAAUAACUUUCUCAGAGCUCAGUGUGCGAAGUCGUUGGGUCGAUUUCUUAAUAUUAUUGAACAUUUUCUAGAGGAACAAGGGCUAUCACCUCUCUGUCUUAGCCAUCAGAAGCAUGCGAAGGGUUUUUGUUUGUAAUUUUUCUUAUAUUACUCUGUGAUAAAUGACAAAAGUGUUAGCAAGAGCACGUAUACAAAACAGAAAGCCACCCACUUACGCAGUGCUGCGCGCAUAUGUUGCGUCCACACGAUCCACACGAAGAAGAAGAAGAAGAAGAAGAAGGAGUAAGGUAUAAUUUUUGGCGCCCCUUCCCAUCAGCAUUACAUUAUUGCACAUUGAAAACAAGGGACUAAAAAGAAAUCGCUGGCGCUGUCGUCGUCGAACUCGAUCUAACACACUCACGGCUUUCGCGAAAAAAAAAAUCACGUUUUCCCCUUGAUCUCUUCCUAUCCUCGAAUCGACCCGUUAUCUGAUGAUCCUUUCUUGCGGUACAAGUUCUCUUCCAGUUGGCGAUUGCUGCCCAUAAGGAGGAGGAAUGUGUAUGCCCCAAUGCUGGGGGGAGUCACUACUGAUCGAGCGGGGAGAGCCAAAGAGAGAAAAGGGGAGGCGUUUUGAAAUCCUUCAUUUGUAU